rnacentral:pre_miRNA from 1 species
AAAGUACUCCCUCCGUCCGGAAUUACUUGUCGCAGAAAUAGAUAAAAGUGGAUGUAUCUAGAACUAAAAUACAUCUAGAUACAUCCAUUUCUUUGACAAGUAUUUCCGGACAGAGGGAGUACAUG